GCCCCAGUAGCUCAGCCUGGUUAGAGCGUCGCUCUGGUAAGGCGGAGGUCCCGGGUUCAAAGCCCGGCUGGGGCU
rnacentral:tRNA from 1 species